rnacentral:rRNA from 1 species
UAUGGUAAUUGUGUGCCGCCGCGGUAAUACGGAAGGUCCGGGCGUUAUCCGGAUUUAUUGGGUUUAAAGGGAGCGUAGGCCGGAGAUUAAGCGUGUUGUGAAAUGUAGAUGCUCAACAUCUGCACUGCAGCGCGAACUGGUUUCCUUGAGUACGCACAAAGUGGGCGGAAUUCGUGGUGUAGCGGUGAAAUGCUUAGAUAUCACGAAGAACUCCGAUUGCGAAGGCAGCUCACUGGAGCGCAACUGACGCUGAAGCUCGAAAGUGCGGGUAUCGAACAGG